rnacentral:misc_RNA from 1 species
UCCACCUAUUCCAGUUCCUGAAGACAAAUGGUUGAUUAAAAGAUAUGAGACUGAGAAUUUUUUUUUCUUUUAAUUCACAGAAUAGUGUCUGAUAGAUAAAUUGAACGUUCUUCCUUAUAAUCAGUUCAGAUUGCAUCAAAUGAACCAAAUUUUAUUGCCACAUUUUUCUGAACUGGAAACUAAUUCAGAACAGAAGCAUAUUUAAUUUCCAAUGUUCAGCAAAUGCAUAUUAGCCAAAAAUUA